rnacentral:misc_RNA from 1 species
GUGAAUCAUCAAAUCUUUGAACGCAAAUUGCACUCUCUUCGGAGAGUAUGCCUGUUUGAGGGUCAGCCUAAAAAAUAGACAUAGUCGCUGUGUCGCGGUGACAUUCGCCGGGGAUUGGGUGAUAUUUAACAUUUGGGUUUUAUGCGGCUUAAAAUUUUCUUUAUGAUUCUACGAAAGUUUCUAUGAUUUAUUUUUUAUACGUUUAAGGUAA